rnacentral:lncRNA from 1 species
CAGAUAAUAGUGGGAAUGACUUCCUACUUAAAGUAGUGAUUUAUUUAUUUUAUUAGGCACGUUCCACAGUACAAAGCUUCAUCAUAAACAAUAUAUGUACAGAUUCAGUAAGCUAUUCAUAUACAGAUGCUCCAAAAGCAAACAAACAUGAUUGUAGGCUAAACUUAGAAUCAUGGAAUAAUGUACAUUUGCCCAUUCAUGGUUAGCAGAGUAUGUCCAGAAUGCAGUCAGGAAUUAAGGUACUUGGGUAUUUGGGUACCAAAGCUCACAAUUCAGUCACAUUCAACAGAUUUACAUGAGUUCUUGAUCAAAUAAAAUGGUCACUCAAACAUGCAUUAAAGAACUCCAUUAAGUAUAUACAUCAAAAUUACGGAUUUAUAUUUUUUCUUUUACAGAAAGUGUUAAAGCUAAGUUGUGUAUAGAGAAAGAAGCAUUUGUUUGUACAAACUACCCUCAAUGUUAUUCAAAUGCACACUGCAAAGACAUUGUUUAAAAGGACUGCGUAACGAUCUACAAAGUUUUUCUUCAUGUCACCAAUGUGAACUGUUUUAAAGCAACAUUUAUUUUUAAUUACACAUCAUAAAACCACAAACUCCCCCUCUAAAAAACAAACAAAAAACUGUUGUGUCUAUGGUUGGGGUGGGGGUAUUAAUACUUCCUUAGUGUGCUUUGUGGAUUUAAAAAUUUCUACCAUAAAGUGUGGAUGAACAUGUAUGUGACAUGUAAAGAGACAAUUUAAAGACCUUUUCAUUCAUAUCCUCAUAUCCUACAAAUAAAUUAUAUACAUAGCACGUACACUGAGCAGCCAGUCUAUUAGGUUUACCAUCAAAGACUGCAUUUUGCAUUUACUAGUUUUUAAGUACACCCUAAAACUCCACAGAAGACUGAAUGGCUGACAUAACCUUGCCAAUAAUUGAACCUUUCACUGAAAUAAUGCCGAUGGGUUUUAACCUCCAAGUUAUUUCAAUGACAAUAAAUGUGAGAGGAAAUGUCUUAUAAUUAAAUGGGUAAAGUAGACUUCUGCACCAUGUUUCAUACCUGUCAGAUACGAACAAGAAGCUAUGCACUUACAAAGGAACAAGGAAAAUAGACACAUGAGUGACAGGAUUAAUGGACAUUAUGUCCCAAAACAGUAGUGGAUCAACCUUUAAACUGCACAAUAUAUCUGUACCAUGCCCGCUCUGUUUAUCCAAUCAUAGCUAAGGGCCAAAAUGAAUACUUGCUAAGCAUGGCUAAUUAAGAAAGGCUGCAGGAAUAUGAAAUCGAUUUUUGCAUAGUUCAGUACACCUUCCAUAAUUCAUAUAUCUCAAGUUAUUUGGGUAUAUGGAUGUUGAGAUGGGAUGUAACUGCUUCAUGAGAACUCUGCCACCUACACAUUUAUAACAGAAGUAGUCUGUCUAGAAUGAGCCAGAUUGCCUGUGUCAUCUAUGCAAAACCUUACUGAAAUAGUAAACUUAAUAUUUCAGUUUUGAGGGCUUAAAAAUAUUGUUAAUGUAGGUAGGUCUGAAUAACAAACUAGCCACUAAUUAGAUAUAUACACAUAAUAUAUAUA